CGGGUGAGUAACGCGUGGGCAACCUGCCCCGCACUGGGGGACAACAGCCGGAAACGGCUGCUAAUACCGCAUAUGCGCACAGCUUUGCAUGAAGCAGUGUGGAAAACUCCGGUGGUGCGGGAUGGGCCCGCGUCUGAUUAGCUGGUUGGCGGGGCAACGGCCCACCAAGGCGACGAUCAGUAGCCGGCCUGAGAGGGCGGACGGCCACACUGGGACUGAGACACGGCCCAGACUCCUACGGGAGGCAGCAG
rnacentral:rRNA from 1 species